UGUUUUGUGGCGUAGUUGGUUAAAGCGCCGGUCAACUGAACACGGAGUCGUGGGUUCGAAUCCCACCAGAACGC
rnacentral:tRNA from 1 species